rnacentral:misc_RNA from 1 species
UCUUCUUCUUCUUCUUUUUGUUUCGUGGCUGUUGCGUUUAUGGCUGGGCCCACCUAGGCAAGCCUAACGCCUUGGUGCGCCUCCUAUAGGUCGCUCGCCUUUGGGUGUCUCAGGGGAUGGGUCCCUCGCCUGAUGCGCGAGCGCGCCUUUAAUAACAGUGAUAUAUAUUCCAUUAUUCUCAUGCUUCAUUCACUCGUCAACCCAUUACAAAGCAGGAGACAAAGUUAAACCAUAUGCCACUUGAAAAACUACUCAAGAAAUUAAUUGCCACCCAACAUUAAAACUAAAUAUAUUCCUAUCUAAAUUUAUCUUUCAACUUUAUUAUUAAUUUGAGUUCCAGUUAAACCUAAUUUAGAAAAUAAUCCACUCAAAAUGCAAUGUUAAAUAUUCUACAUGUCAAAACUUGGGGGAAACAAUAAAGAAAUAAAAGAAGAAAAGGAAAAAGAAUUUAUCAGAUGUUCCAACGAAAAGAUUUUAUUUCUAUAUACUUUCUCUCUUUUCUUCAUUCUCCCCCCUUCACUCUCUUUUCUUCAUGGGUGGAGCUAAACCUGCCCUACAGUAAUAUGAAAGUAGUGCAACUAAGCAUUAAUAAAGGAUUGAGAGAUGCUUCAUCUUUAUCAAUC